AGCGAACGCUGGCGGCAGGCCUAACACAUGCAAGUCGAACGAAGUCUUCGGACUUAGUGGCGGACGGGUGAGUAACACGCGGGAACGUACCUUUAGGUUCGGAACAACUCAGGGAAACUUGAGCUAAUACCGGAUAAGCCCUUCGGGGGAAAGAUGUAUCUCCUUUAGAGCGGCCCGCGUUAGACUAGCUAGUUGGUGAGGUAAAGGCUCACCAAGGCUACGAUCUAUAGCUGGUCUGAGAGGAUGAUCAGCCACACUGGGACUGAGACACGGCCCAGACUCCUACGGGAGGCAGCAGUGGGGAAUCUUGCGCAAUGGGCGAAAGCCUGACGCAGCCAUGCCGCGUGAAUGAUGGAGGUCUUAGGAUUGUAAAAUUCUUUUACCAGGGAAGAUAAUGACGGUACCUAGAGAAAAAGCCCCGGCUAACUUCGUGCCAGCCGCCGCAGUAA
rnacentral:rRNA from 1 species